rnacentral:rRNA from 1 species
UACGGGGGGGGCAAGCGUUGUUCGGAAUUACUGGGCGUAAAGGGCUCGUAGGCAGCCAACUAAGUCAGACGUGAAAUCCCUCGGCUUAACCGGGGAACUGCGCCUGAUACUGGAUGGCUUGAGAUCGGGAGGGGUGAAUGGAACUCCAGGUGGAGCGGUGAAAUGCGUAGAUAUCUGGAGGAACACCGGUGGCGAAAGCGGUUCACUGGCCCGACACUGACACUGAGGUGCGAAAGCUAGGGUAGCAAACGGG